rnacentral:rRNA from 1 species
GACGAACGCUGGCGGCGUGCUUAACACAUGCAAGUCGAGCGGUAAGGCCUUUCGGGGUACACGAGCGGCGAACGGGUGAGUAACACGUGGGUGAUCUGCCCUGCACUUCGGGAUAAGCCUGGGAAACUGGGUCUAAUACCGGAUAUGACCUCCUAUCGCAUGGUGGGUGGUGGAAAGAUUUAUCGGUGCAGGAUGGGCCCGCGGCCUAUCGGCUUGUUGGUGGGGUAAUGGCCUACCAAGGCGACGACGGGUAGCCGACCUGAGAGGGUGACCGGCCACACUGGGACUGAGACACGGCCCAGACUCCUACGGGAGGCAGCAGUGGGGAAUAUUGCACAAUGGGCUGAAGCCUGAUGCAGCGACGCCGCGUGAGGGAUGACGGCCUUCGGGUUGUAAACCUCUUUCAGCAGGGACGAAGCGCAAGUGACGGUACCUGCAGAAGAAGCACCGGCUAACUACGUG